rnacentral:tRNA from 1 species
GCAGUGGUGGUUCAAUGGUAAAAUUCUUACCUUCCACGCAGGAGAACCAGGUUCAAUUCCCAGCCAAUGUA